UACGUAGGUGGCAAGCGUUGUCCGGAUUUACUGGGCGUAAAGAGCGCGCAGGCGGUUGAUUAAGUCGAAUGUGAAAGCCCCCGGCUCAACUGGGGAGGGUCAUUCGAUACUGAUCGACUUGAAGGCAGGAGAGGGAAGUGGAAUUCCGGGUGUAGUGGUGAAAUGCGUAGAUAUCCGGAGGAACACCAGUGGCGAAGGCAGGUCUCUGGGCCAUUACUGACACUGAGAAGCGAAAGCAUGGGGAGCGAACAGG
rnacentral:rRNA from 1 species